rnacentral:lncRNA from 1 species
AUGGUUCGGAGACUUACAGGGAGGCUGAGGAGGAGAAUGUGGGCCGCAGGACUCUAAAAAGAAAGACCGCCCGGGCAGCCGUCAACAAGAUGAAGCUUCUGAAAGUCUCUGAGGAAGACUAUGAUUCAGCCUCUGAGGAAGAGGACAAACAAAGCAGAAAAAGCAGCAGCCAUGUGACCCGGCUCAGCAAACGCACUGCCCUAAUCCAGAGCAGCUCUGAAUCAGAUGAUCAGUCAGCACAGAGUAAGCACACAAUGACAGUUUAAAUUGGUUUGGAUCCAUUGUUGUUCAAUGGUUUACUGUACCGGGGCAACGAAAGGGCCAUGACUUCAGAACCGAUUUAAACACUGCUGGAUAAUGUGCUUUAUCUUUCCUAGGUUCUAAAAAAGACAAGGAUUCAUCAGGUGAUUCAGGGAACAACGAGGACAGUAUUGAGAGUGCAGCUUCCUCCUAUUAUUGCCAUAAGAAUGGAGAGAGUAAGAGCUCCAGGACAAGCAGACCAGCUGCAGGGACAGAGGACAAAGAUUUGUCUUAUGUUAAUGGACACAGCACAAAACGUCAAAAGACUGACAGUAACUCAGAGAAAGAGCAUGAAGAUGGUGGAGAAGAGGAAGUUGCUCUUGUGACUCAGUCUUCCAGAAGUAUUGAAACAGCUGCUGUGAGCAAAAGUAGAUCUUACAGUGAUGUGGAAGAAGAGAAUUCUGGAAAAUGCAAUCAUCUGGAAAGCUCAGAAGAGGAUGACGGAAACCACAUUGCCCAAAGACACCCUCACCAAAAUGGGAGAAAGGUGAAGAAAGAACAUAAAGACUCUGAGAAAAAAUUUAAAUUAUCAUCAAAAAGCCAAGAACAAACAUCUGCCUCAACCCACAAAAAGGAUAGUGCUGAAUCAGAGGAAAUCACUGAAACUCCAAAGAGAUCAAGCUCUCGGAAGAAAAGACAGAAGUGUGAAGAAGAUGAGGAGGACGGGCAGGAGGAAGACUACAAUGAAGCAGACAGCGACCUCUCAGAUGAAGAAUCUCAGGGAGAAUCUUUGAAAAAACAUCAGUUACGAAACAGGAACAAGCUCAAAAGACAGUUUCACAAAGAGUGUGCUUCAGAGAGUGAAGAGGAUGAUGUACCAAAUAGGAGAGCAAGGAGGAAACCACACACUUUCUCAGAGGAAGAAUCUGAUGGGGAGGUGAAACAUCACCCUAGCAGACGAAUUUGCCUUCGAGCCCAACCGCAAAAAAAAUACAUCAAUGAAGACUCUGAGGACUCGAACUCUGAGUUGCAAGGCAGCCUCAAGAAUGUGAAGAGCAAUGGUGCCUUGAAUAAAGAUGGACGUCAACGCGAAAGAAGGAAAGCCUCAACUAAUUCAAAAUCGUUUUCUUCCAAGAGAAAGCGCAUUUACACGUCAGACUCUGAAGACAACCCAGAUGAAAAGAAACAUUGCAUGCCCACGCCUGACAGCAACUGUGAAGAUAAGGACACAAAAAGACCCAACACCAAACAUCCCAAAAAAGCAUCUCGAUCGAAGUCUGAAGACCCGGAAAGUAAUGGGCAGGAAGAUGAGGAGAUGGAGCGUCCCAGAGAGAAGAGAACGUUGGUGCGACAGAAGCGCAAGCGCAAGGAAAGCUGCAGCAGCAGCAGUGCCCACAGUUCUUCCUCUGAAAGCGAGGAGGAAGAGUCAUCUGCCUCUGAGAAUUCCUCUGCCAGCUCAGGGUCCCAAAGCAGUCCAAAGCCAAGGAGCCACAAGAGGGUGUCAAGGGUCAGUGAAAGGGGUGCUGCCCGCCAUGCUCAAAAUCGAAGGGAUGCUUCUGAAGCAGACAGUGAUGAAUCGUACAGGAUACCUCAGAGAGGAGCCCGCGGAACACGUAUAAAGACCCGAAACCGUGGCAAACGGACAGUGACAUAUCAUCACGACAGUGAAUGAAGGGCUAAGCAAAGCAAACUUAGUCAGAGACUGAGAGUAACUGGAGACAUUGAAGACACUUGAUUGCAUUAUGGUAUUAGCACUGGAGCCCUUUCGUGAGGAAAUGCUGUGAAUCUGUUUCAUUCAGGGAUAUUUAUAUUUUCUAUGAAAAAAGUUUAUAAAAUGUAUGAAUACAAGCAUUUGAACAGCUGGUUUUCACAUAUUUACAAAACCACCCCCAAUUUUGCUUGUGAUUUGGCCAGCUAAAUUACCGUUUGGGGGGAGAUUUGUCAGCUUGGGUGCUAUCUUAAUAUACCUCUGUUUAAUCGAGUACUUUGCUGGCUUGCACUUAAAAAAGUUCAAAUAAAAUAAAAAAAACACUGUAAAGAGGUAUUUCAUACACUAGUUUUGCAUUAGAAACUCAGGGGUCAACUAAGUUUACUGCAGUCUCAGACAAUUAUUUUGUAAAACUGAGGCAAAUAAUUCAAGGAUGGCAGUUUCAGUCCAAGCACAUAAUCACUGAAACAAAACAAAUCAGCUUCACCUUUCAUUGACUUCAACACUCUUUUGUAAUUUCACAUUAAUGAUACUUUACUAUUUUGUGAGAUGACUUGUUGAUAUGAGCCAAAAUGUACAAAUUUGAAUUCCUAAUUUUAAUUUUGUCAUUUAUUUCUUUGUUUAUAUUUGGAUUAUUUUGUGUUCUAGUCAUGGAAUGAGGUGUAAAUAUGUGAUUGAGAAUUACUUAUGUUGUAUGGUUUAUGAGGAUCACUAUUGCAAACAAAUGCUUACAGUGCUGUGAAAAAGUAUUUGCCCAAUCCAUUUCAGUUUAUGUUCAGAUAUUUAAGGAUGUUUACAUCUGAAAAAUAAACACUUAACAUUUUUGGAAUGGUGUAGUCAUGUUCAGAUCUAGAUUGAUAUCACAUUCCCCCAGAGUGAUGUGAGAUUGACAUUUACAGGAGGUUAUUGGUUGUAGUUAUUACAGGUGGUCCUUCUGGUUGUGUAAGGAGGCAAAUACUUUUUCCCAGGGGCAUUGGGUGUUGCAUAACUUUGUUUAUUAAAUAAAUGAAUUAAGUACCUAAAUGUUUGUUCAAUCAGAUUCUCUUCAUCUGAUAUUACCCUUUUGUUGUAGAUCUGAUGACUAAGUGGCAAAUAUGCAAAAAUAGAGAAAAUCAGAGAGGGAAAAUACUUUUUUGCUGCACUGUAUUUCAAUUUGAGCAUACAUUUUUCUUUUGAAUGACAUUACAAUGCAUUGUCUUACCACAUGUCACAAAUUGGUACCUUUUUGCCAAGUAUGGGAAACAAACUACUUGUGCAAAAUGCUGUGAUUUCUCAUAUUGGGAAGACAUUUUAGUGUUGUUUUGUUACGCAUACGCUCAGUAUUAAAUUUCUUUUCAGAGAUAACAAACUGCAUUAAAUAUUUCCAACUGACAUGCUUUAGUUUUGCGUGUUGCGGGGGGGAUCAGGUCUUGAACUAGUAUUGCAUAGAAAUGUUUAAUGUUUUUCAUACACUUUAAUAAAAUGGAUUUCACAGGAAAAGGUUACUCAGUACAGUUUAGGAGUGCCAGAUGGUUGUUUUCUGGUUAAAUAAAGACAUAAUUCAAAGCUUGCUUUGUGUUAUUAAUUUAAUGCCAUGUUAUUCCAACAAUUAAUACAUACCCGAUUCUGCUUUAUGGACCAAUAGUUUACACCUUUUCAAAGAUUUUACUGAGUUAAUGUAAGGAUAUCAGUCAAUUAAACAUUUGUGCACUUGAAGGGAAUAAUCUAUGUACAUGGAAAAUGUCCGAGCUCUUAUUUCAGCUCAUAAAACAUGGGACAAACACUUUACAAGUUGGUUAAUUUAGUAAGCUCUCAAUGAGGUUGUCUCAUUCAGUAAAUGUCCAUCCAUCCUAAAUCCUUUGUCCUUCAUGAUCUAGAAUUCUUCAAGUGAUUAAGUGGUUGAGAUGUCAAAUUUACCCCUAUGCACUUGAGGAAAUUAAGAUGAUUAGUAUAAACAAAAUGGAGAAACUCAUCUAGUUUAUCAAAUGGCAAGAUGGAGUUAUUACCAUAUGACAAAAACUUGUCCAAUCCUUUCAGAUUUCCAAGUACAUGUGUUGUAUGGCUUAGAAAUUGAUUUGGAAACAUUUUGAGUUCUGAAAUCUUGCACGCCAUUAAAUCAAUAAAAUGUUUUAUACAACUAACAUUUUAUUGUUAUUGCUUUUCACAUUUGGGUGAUAGUCAUGAAACAAUAAUCUGGCUGUGUUCAAAAUGGUUAAAACCAAUGUUUUCAGAAGUAAAAGGUGAUUAUGGGAUUAAUAAUUUAUCGCUUAUGUCAAAGGUUAAAAGGGUUAAUUUCCAGUCUUCACAGUUGUCUUUUAUGGAGUUUUUUUUUAAAAUGAGGUUGACCCAGGAUGUUUGGGUAAUAAAAGUGAUUUAUGUACAUGUUUUCAUAGGUAUAUGAUGUUUUUUUAAAUGCAUUUCUCACAGGGGGGAGAUGAGCCUGGGAAAGGUAGA